CUGAAAACAACAAGGCACUGGGAAGACUUGGAAAGCUUGGCCGCUGGCUGUAGGAUGGCUCAAUUCUUUCUCCCACAUCUCGCAGAGUAUUGUCUUCACUCUGCAGGCGUGAAAAGUCAAUUGCGAAAACCCCAAAUAGAAAACUGCAAGAGGAUAUGAGACUGCAUUUUCUGACCUCACAAAGAGCAGGAUACAUUGAUUCUGAAUCACCCCCCUCAAGAAGGCGGACUUUCCCAGCAGUGAAUCAGCCGCAACAGCACCUCUUGUAGAAGCAUAACUCAUUAAGCUGCACACGCUGAUGUAAAUYUUUACUUUUUAU